UGGUUGAUCCUGCCGGACCCGACUGCUAUCAGAGUGAGAUUAAGCCAUGCGAGUUAACGUAGCAAUACGUGGCGCACGGCUCAGUAACACGUAGUCAACAUGCCCAGAGGACGUGGAUAACCUCGGGAAACUGAGUCUAAACCGCGAUAAGUGAGGAUUUCUGGAAUGGUACCUGACUAAAAUCUAUAUGGCCUCUGGAUUGGACUGCGGCCGAUCAGGCUGUUGGUGAGGUAAUGGCCCACCAAACCUGUAACCGGUACGGGCUCUGAGAGGAGGAGCCCGGAGAUGGGCACUGAGACAAGGGCCCAGGCCCUAUGGGGCGCAGCAGGCGCGAAACCUCUGCAAUAGGCGCAAGCCUGACAGGGUUACUCUGAGUGACUUUCGCUAAGAAAGUCUUUUGGCACCUCUAAAAAGGGUGCAGAAUAAGGGGUGGGCAAGUCUGGUGUCAGCCGCCGCGGUAAUACCAGCACCCCGAGUGGUCGGGACGAUUAUUGGGCCUAAAGCAUCCGUAGCCGGUUCUGCAAGUCCCCCGUUAAAUCCAGCCGCUCAACGGAUGGGCCGCGGAGGAUACUACAGGACUAGGAGGCGGGAGAGGCAAGCGGUACUCAGUGGGUAGGGGUAAAAUCCUUUGAUCCAUUGAAGACCACCAGUGGCGAAGGCGGCUUGCCAGAACGCGCUCGACGGUGAGGGAUGAAAGCUGGGGGAGCAAACCGGAUUAGAUACCCGGGUAGUCCCAGCUGUAAACGAUGCAGACUCGGUGAUGGGCUAGCCUUGUGCCAGCCCAGUGCCGCAGGAAGCCGUUAAGUCUGCCGCCUGGGGAGUACGGUCGCAAGACUGAAACUUAAAGAAUUGGCGGGGGAGCACCACACGGGUGAAGCCUGCGGUUCAAUUGGACUCACGCCGAAUCACUAUUGAAUUACUGCGGCCUGCAGUCGACCACUGGAGAACUCCCAACCCGUGGAGGCAAGCUUAGGAUCUUUAUGUGCCCAAAAGCUUGGCGGAGACAGUCAAACAGGUUCUUUCUGGAAUAGUAUUCCUCCCAAUUCACCCACAACAAACCGACAAAAAUAAGACCGGGGCUGUGGAGAGUAUUCCUAUUUGGUCCAGCCCCUCUCUCGAACAGUAGCCCGCUAUUAUAUCACACCCGAGAGAUGCA
rnacentral:rRNA from 1 species